GCAGCCCCUCGCCCAGCCGCCGGCCCUCCUGGCUUCUGGGCGGCGACUACAGAGCCUCCUGAGGCGACCGAGCGUCCGCACGUAAGGGGCGUGGCCACGCUCGCCGCGCGCCCCGGGAAGACGGCCGAGCGGCGGCCGGCUGCAGAUGAUGAUGUCUAUAUUGGAAGAAAUAGGAGCUCCAGAGACAUUGAAGAGAGUUCCCUUCCCCAGGGAGCAAGGUCAGCUCAAGUGGCUCUAGUCCUGAUCAGCAGCAGGCGAAGUAGGCAUUCGGUGACACUGCUUGGUGUUCCCAUCUGCAGCGGGAGCUGCAGAGGACAUGUCAGCGUGGAGCUGCUGGAGGGCUACUGCCUAACGAGCAUUGGGGAAAAUCGGCUUUCCUUGGCUCGGUUCUCCUUGGAGUGGACAUUGCUCAGAGAUCCAUAGAAUCAGGAAUACACUCAUCCAUCCACUACUCAGAAUAGUUUAAAAAUCUUUGGUAAGUACUCAGUUCUUUCAUUGCUGAACAUGAUUCAUGAUUAAACAGCAAUCUGCAUUCCUCUUCUGCAUUAAAAAUGUAGAGCCCACCUCAUUCGAUGCUGGUGGGAA